AGGAAAAUGGCUCCUCCCCCGUGUGACAUCUUUGAUGUGCAAGAAGAUCUGAUUUCUUAAGAAAACCCUUUCCACAUUCAGGGCAAGAAAACGGCUUAACCCCUGUGAUUUACGGGCGGCUCUUACCAUCCACUGACACCAAGACAUCCGGUCCAUCCAUUGAUCCUCCAUCACUUUCCUGUGAGGAUCCAACAUAGAAGACAAGAGAAAAGGGAAAGGAGACAAAUUUAUCUUCUAAUCAGGACUCUUCCUAUACAAAGAACUAUUCUACAGAGCGUCCACAGGCCCCAAUAAGAAGAGGAUAUAGAGUGUAUACUGUAUACUCCACUGCUGGAGAAGAGGAUAUAGAGCGUAUACUGUAUACUCCACUGCUGGAGAAGAGGAUAUAGAGCGUAUACUGUAUACUCCACUGCUGGAGAAGAGGAUAUAGAGCGCAUACUGUAUACUCCACUGCUGGAGAAGAGGAUAUAGAGCGUAUACUGUAUACUCCACUGCUGGAGAAGAGGAUAUAGAGCGUAUACUGUAUACUCCACUGCUGGAGAAGAGGAUAUAGAGCGUAUACUGUAUACUCCACUGCUGGAGAAGAGGAUAUAGAGCGUAUACUGUAUACUCCACUGCUGGAGAAGAGGAUAUAGAGCGUAUACUGUAUACUCCACUGCUGGAGAAGAGGAUAUAGAGCGUAUACUGUAUACUCCACUGCUGGAGAAGAGGAUAUAGAGCGUAUACUGUAUACUCCACUGCUGGAGAAGAGGAUAUAGAGCGUAUACUGUAUACUCCACUGCUGGAGAAGAGGAUAGAGCGUAUACUGUAUACUCCACUGCUGGAGAAGAGGAUAUAGAGUGUAUACUGUAUACUCCACUGCUGGAGAAGAGGAUAUAGAGCGUAUACUGUAUACCCCACUGCUGGAGAAGAGGAUAUAGAGCGUAUACUCCACUGCUGGAGAAGAGGAUAUAGAGUGUAUACUGUAUACUCCACUGCUGGAGAAGAGGAUAUAGAGUGUAUACUGUAUACCCCACUGCUGGAGAAGAGGAUAUAGAGCGUAUACUGUAUACUCCACUGCUGGAGAAGAGGAUAUAGAGCGUAUACUGUAUACUCCACUGCUGGAGAAGAGGAUAUAGAGUGUAUACUGUAUACCCCACUGCUGGAGAAGAGGAUAUAGAGCGUAUACUGUAUACUCCACUGCUGGAGAAGAUUAGGAGAAAGCUCCAUGACAUCAAUCUAUAGAGGAUUUACAGAAAUCUCCGCUUCAUCUACCUGAUGAUCCACAGGGACAUUCUGCUCUUCCUCUUUACAAUCCUGGGAAUAUAGAGGACGGGGACAUCUCUCUGGGGGAUUUCUCUGACUGGAUCCA